ensembl:ncRNA F11D5.26 ncRNA
CUCUGAAGGGGGGCACAAAAAUACGAAUGCAUUAAAACCGGGUGAGCCGAGCGAGGAGGUGCAUUCUUGAUCGUGGGAGCCUCUUUUCUGCUCCUCUUUCAGAUCUGACACGACCUUUUGUAGUCGGCUUUUAUUGAAC